AGCGUGAAAGCCCUUAAGCCCGCCCCUGAUUCCAAUUCCCAACCAACCACUCACAUCAUGGCGGCGGCUACUGCUUCGUCGUCGGCGGCGGCGGCGGCGGUGCUAUCCCUCAGCCCAGCGCCCACCACUAGUUCAUUCCUCCGCACCCAGGUCCCCGCUCACCGCCUCCCCACCCUGAGAUGCCGCCGCGCUCGGACCCUCACCGCCGCGGCGGGGGGCAGCGGCUCGCCGUCGUCCGCCGUCUUCCACGGCGAGUGCUUCGUGGUGGGGGACAACAUCGACACCGACCAGAUCAUCCCCGCCGAGCACCUCACCCUGAUGCCGUCCAAGCCCGACGAGUACCGCAAGCUCGGCUCCUUCGCCUUCGCCGGCCUCCCCUCCGCGGCCUACCCGACGCCGUUCGUCGCCCCAGGCGAGGAGUCCUCCCGCUACACCGUCAUCGUCGGCGGGGACAACUUCGGCUGCGGCUCCUCCCGCGAGCAUGCGCCCGUCUCGCUCGGGGCCGCCGGCGCGCGCGCCGUCGUCGCGGAGAGCUACGCGCGCAUCUUCUUCCGCAACUCCGUGGCCACCGGCGAGGUCUACCCUCUGGAGCUCGCGGACGCUGGAGCAUGGAAGGAGUGCAAGACCGGGGAUGUGGUCACCGUGGACCUUGGUAAUUCCAUCUUUAUUAACCACACCUCCGGCAAGGAGUACCAGCUGAAGCCUAUUGGUGAUGCUGGACCGGUCAUUGAGGCCGGCGGGAUCUUCGCGUAUGCCCGGAAGACCGGAAUGAUUGCAUCGAAAGCUACUGCAUGAGAGUACAGACUAUUGAAAGUUUGAAGCAGUUGAGUUGGGACUAGACCUGUGAUUGUUCUCCUAGCCAGGUGAAUUAUAUCUGCUGUCAGACUAGUUGAGGCCUCUGCAGGCAGAAGUAAAACUGUAUUUGGGAUCAAGAGUUAUUGCACCUCUACUUGCUAUUGUCCAGCAUGUGUACUGCUACUUUUGCAUAGGUUUGUACCAUCAACCGUGUUUCAAAAUAAGUAACAGCGUACUGAGCUACGAUGGAUUGGUUCAUGCGGUCUUGUGUUACAUCUCAUGUAUUACUCUUCUUCGUACAAUUGUACCUUUUUAUUGUAUGUUUGAAUAACAGCUUUAAUGUCAACUUAUGUUUACAACUCUUA